CUGGAUAUCGUUGAACUGCUUCUCAAGGGAUGCAAAUCAUUCAAGAACUACGAGAAGAAGUGCAAGACGUUGGUGUUCGAGUAUGGACCUCUGAUCCUAGUAAA